AGACAAAUGUUGAAAAACGUCUUUGCGGGGCAGGACGUUGGUCACGAGUUUGAGCAUGCUGCUGAGCAAUUGGAACAUCGGGAUUAUCCUAGUCA
rnacentral:snoRNA from 1 species